UGUGGAAGAACAAGCCCAGACACGUUUCUUCACGGAGAACAAGGAAAACACUUUACCGAACUCAUAUGGGAUGGGCCCUGUAAGUUGUGCAGCACUGUUGUACCAACCAAGAGUGACAUUUUAAAGCAUUACAGACUGCAACAUGGGACCUUUGGACACAGCCAUUCCUUGCCUUGCAUUCAUAUUAAUGAAGCGGAAUCAACAUUUAUGUCCCAACUGGACAGGUACACGCCAAAGCUCCUGGAGCUCUUCAGUCCAAAAGAAGGAGUGACUGCAGCGCAUCAAGAACUUGUUGAUGGAACUGAUACAGGACCCAAGUGCCUCUGCAGUGAAGAAGAGAGAUGUGACUGUGAGAUGCCUCAUAGAGUACGUGGGAGAGAGUGGACAGGAGCUAAUCUCUGACUACUGGAACUGCAGAGACCACUGUUCAUGAGGACCUGGAAAUGAAGAAUAUGAGCAUCUACAUCUGUCGUGAGCCAAAUGCAGUAGGAAUCAUCAUUGAGGGAGUACCAGUCCUUACUCAUCUUGGAAACCUGGCCAAAGCAUGCUGCCUACUUCUGGGGUUGACGUAUGCACUUAAUCUUGAGUAUCCAUCCAAACUUUCCAAAACAUUUGAGGUGUUUCAAAGACUUUUUGUGGGACUUGACACACUGCGCCCAAAACCAACCCCCAAAUUCAUGACUCUCAAAAACAAGCUUCUAGCUUAGGCAGUGAGCCAUGACUGUCAGCUUGCACUUUUGAACAGCUAUUUUCUUGUGUCUGUUCAAAAUCAUUAUACAUUGUUCAUUGAGUGGAAUUCUUCAGAAUGUUGUAACGGUUUGUCCUGUUCAGGUUUUAUACAAAGCUCCAGGUCAUCGUUUCUGGUGUGUAAAUUAAGUUUUUUUAUGUUUUAUACACACUAAAUUGCCCUACUGUGAAGCUCCAGCUGGUCAGAAGGAGGGAUCUGUGAGUUGUUUAAGUUCAAAUGUUUCAAAAUAUACACACUGAAAGACACUACAGUGAAGGUGUUCUGCUUGUAAAUUGUUACAGAAGUACAGAUAAUCUUAAUGUUAAAUUGUUUUAGCAAGAAACUGUACUGUGAAUGUUCUAAGUAAAACUUGAGAUGCUGAGGUCAUGCAUUCUUUUAUGCACUAAAUACUGAUGUUCUUGACUGUUAAUACUGUCCAGCUUAUUGACAGGUUUGGAUAUGGCUUGUGAAAAUGUUUUAAUAUGUAUACGGUUAAAAAAAGAAAACUACUGUGAAGGUGUUCUAUACAGCACUUUAAAAAGUUGAGGUCAUGCAUUCUUGUAUAAUAUGGAUGUUGACUGUUCAUACUGUCCAGCUCAUUGCCACU